GUGUAGCAGCCGCGGUAAUACGUAGGUGGCAAGCGUUGUCCGGAUUUAUUGGGCGUAAAGCGAACGCAGGCGGGAGAAUAAGUCAGCUGUGAAAGCCCUCAGCUUAACUGGGGAACUGCAGCUGAAACUAUUUUUCUUGAGUGCAGAAGAGGAGAGUGGAACUCCAUGUGUAGCGGUGGAAUGCGUAGAUAUAUGGAAGAACACCAGUGGCGAAGGCGGCUCUCUGGUCUGUAACUGACGCUGAGGUUCGAAAGCAUGGGUAGCGAACAGGAUUAGAUACCCUGGUAGUCCAUGCCGUAAACGAUGAGUGCUAAGUGUUGGGAGGUUUCCGCCUCUCAGUGCUGCAGCUAACGCAUUAAGCACUCCGCCUGGGGAGUACGACCGCAAGGUUAAAACUUAAAUAAAUUGACGG
rnacentral:rRNA from 1 species